rnacentral:rRNA from 1 species
CGUAGCUAGUAAGUAGUUUGACUCCGUGGCUCGAGGACGACGCUGGCGGCGUGCUUAACACAUGCAAGUCGAACGAGGCCGGGUCUUCGGACCCGAGUCGAGUGGCGGACGGGUGCGUAACACGUGAGUGACCUGACCUUGUGAGGGGGACAACCCGGGAAACCCGGGCUAAUACCGCAUGGGCGCAGCCUGUCAUGGGCAGCGUGAAAGCCGGCCUAUCCCUGGAAGCCGGCGCGCAGGGAGGGGCUCGCGGCGUAUCAGCUCGUUGGUGAGGUAACGGCUCACCAAGGCGACGACGCGUAGCGGGUCUGAGAGGACGACCCGCCACACUGGGACUGAGACACGGCCCAGACUCCUACGGGAGGCAGCAGUUAGGAAUAUUGGACAAUGGGCGCAAGCCUGAUCCAGCCAUGCCGCGUGAGUGAUGAAGGCCUUCGGGUUGUAAAGCUCUUUAGCCGACGAAUAUAAUGACUGUAGUCGGAGAAUAAGCCCCGGCUAACUUCGUGCCAGCAGCCGCGGUAAUUC